AAAAAAGCAGGGGUAUGUUGUUGACUAAUGUGAACUUGCCCCUCGUUAACGUCAGGGAAAUUAUUUAUUUCAUUGUUUUUGGGUGAGCCUCUGAUUUUAUUCCUUGGUGGUUUAGUAACUGAAGGUUCAGUAAAUAAUGACACAUUA